rnacentral:rRNA from 1 species
AGCCUGUAGCAAUAUUACCGGUGUAGCCUGCCCACUGCAUUGUAAACGGCCGCAGAACUUUAACUGUGCUAAGGUAGCGUAAUUAUUUGUCUUUUAAAUGGAGACUGAAUGAAUGGCUUAUUGGGGUAAAGCUGUCUCAAUGAGGGUUUAUAAAAAUUAAAAUAAAGGUGAAAAUUCCUUUAAAAGGAAAAAAGACGAGAAGACCCUAAGAGUUUUAAUUAAAAGAAGUAUAUUUCUUAGAUUUUUGUUGGGGCAACAAAGGAGUUAUUCUCCUAUUUAUGACUUGUAAUUAUUUAGAAAGAAUAAACUACCUUAGGGAUAACAGCACAAUCUGUUUUGGGUUUGUGACCUCGAUGUUGGACUAGGUAUUGCUUUCUCCAAAAGAGAAAUGUUAUGGUUCUGUUCGAACAAAAUUACCU